rnacentral:lncRNA from 1 species
AGUGCUUCCCUACCUCAUCGCCGUCUCCCCUCACGGUACUUCAGCCCACUGUCCCCACCGUUCCUGGGGCUCGCCAGGCGCCCUCUCCCCCGCCCGCUGCCCGGUGCAGCGCUCUCCCGACGCCCGCGUGGCUUUCUUCCAGGUCUUUGCUCAAAUGUCAGCUUACAAGGUCUUCUCUGCUGCCCUCCUGCUCCGUGGCACUGAUUCCCUCCCGAUGCACUGUCAGGUCAGCUGCGCAGCAAAGGGAUUUUUGGACCCGCAGCAGCGCCUGACACACAGCAGGCAUUCCCUCAGCGCUGCGGAAUACAGGCAGACCCGGGGCUCAGGGCGCUGUCUGGGCCUCACUGGGACCCGUGGGGUCAGACAGAGGCUGAGGUCUGUGGGUUGUGGCCUUGUUUCCAAGAUGCUCCACGGGCUGACGGCCCAGGCGCCUCUCGGGUGCGGAGAAGGCAGGAAACCUAACCCCUGCUUCCAAAUUUAAUCAGUAGAAACGGUAUCAUCACCCAGCACAGGCCAGGAUCAUUUCUGAGGUUAGUUCUGGCCCAAUCAUGCAUGCAUUUCUUUUUUCUUUUUUUUUUUGAGACGGAGUCUCACUCUGUCACCCAGGCUGGGGUGCAAUGGCCCGAUCUCGGCUCACUGCAACCUCCGCCUGCCGAGGGUUCAAGCGAUUCUCCCGCCUCAGCCUCUCGAGUAGCUAGGACUAGAGGCACCCGCCACCACACCGGCUAAUUUUUGUAUUUUUAGUAGAAACGGGGUUUCACUAUAUUUGGCCAGGCUGGUCUUGAACUCCUGACCUCGUGAUCCGCCCGCCUCGGCCUCCCAAAGUGCUGGGAUUACAGGCAUGAGCCACCGCGCCCGGCCUCAUGCGUGUAUUUCUUUCUUCACUCAACACUCAUUGAGCAACUACUGCACACCAGACCCUAUGCUGAAUGCACGCAGAUACCCCCAGUCCCAUGAGAUUGGACAGGAGCGUGGAACUCAAGGGUGACUCUGGCUCUGCCUGGGGAAAGAGAGAGAGGGCUUCCGAGGGGCAGACCAAGCCCAGGUGGACCACGUCCCAGGCAGACCAAGCCCAGGUGGACCACGUCCCAGGCAGACCAAGCCCAGGCGGACCACGUCCCAGGCGGACCACGUCCCAGGCGGACCACGUCCCAGGCGGACCAAGCCCAGGCGGACCACGUCCCAGGCGGACCACGUCCCAGGCGGACCAAGCCCAGGUGGACCACGUCCCAGGCGGACCACGUCCCAGGCGGACCAAGCCCAGGUGGACCACGUCCCAGGCGGACCAUGUCCCAGGCAGACCACGUCCCAGGCAGACCAAGCCCAGGCGGACCACGUCCCAGGCAGACCACGUCCCAGGCGGACCAAGCCCAGGUGGACCACGUCCCAGGCAGACCAAGCCCAGGCAGACCACGUCCCAGGUAGACCUAGUGGUUGUGUAUUCACUUCUCCCAACCCCCCUGGGAAGAAAUAACUGCAGCUGGCCCCAUUGCACCAAUGAGGAAACUGAGGCCCAGGGAGGAAGCCGAUUGCCUGAGGCGGCAGCUUUGGGACUGGACUGUGGCUGCCUCCUGAGGAAGGAAACAGUUCCUCCCUCCACCCUCAUCCUGGCAGGGGUUGGGCCACCGUUGCUUCAUCAAGUGUCGUGGAGCCUCCGCUCUGUGCCAGGAGCGGGGCCUGUGCCACAAACGUCUGCUGAAACCAGCCAUCCACCCAACAGUAUCGAGCACCAUGAUCGGAAGAGUAAAGGCCCCAAACUGGGCCAGGGGCGGUGGCUCAUUCCCGUAAUCCCAGCACUUUGGAAGGCUGAGGCGGGUGGAUCAUUUGAGGUCAGGAGUUCGAGGCUAGUCUGGCCAAAAUGGUGAAACCCAUCUCUACUAAC